CCAAGUUUGAAUCUCAUAAUAAGGUAGUAUAGAUAUCAAAAUCAUACUGAAAGCGGAAACUAUCUGAAUUUAAUAUCCGAAAAUAAUGUCUGGAACCUUAAUACUGAAUAAUCUGAAUAAAAACUAGUAGUCUGACAAUCCUCUACUACUAAUAAAUAGAGAGCCAUUGGGAUACACCCCCAGCUGACUCGAACUGUCUAAAAAGAAUGCUGAAUCAUCUAAGCUGAAAAUCUGAAUAACUAAGUCCCCGAACUAUGAUGACUCACCAACUAUCAGACUGUAGAUACUCGAAAUUACUCAUGCUGUUGGAACUGAGCACCUGAACCUACAUUAUGAGACAAUGUAACACAGACGUAUAUGUGGAUUAGUACUUUUAGGAUGUACUGAGUAUAUGGUUGCAAGCAUAAUUGAUAAUGCCUAGUGGUAAAAAAAUGACACCUUAGUUUAAUGGAUGGGAAUGUGUAAAUGGUUUUAAUUGGGCUUAAUGGGGUUGUGUAGCUCAAGCUGAAGGUCUUAGUCUCAGGGAAGAUGAAUACUGAAAAUCACAUUUACCGAUGUGGGGGUCUUUAUGAUCUUGUGCAUAGUUCACACUUGAUAUGUUUAUAUCUUAGAUUGGUAUGGGGUCAUGGAUUCCCUGACCUUCUUUGGAUUUCCUGGUUCUUGCGGUUACACGCAUUGGGGCCCUUCCAAUGGGAGGAGCCGGACCUGUUAGCCUGUGGGUGCCUUUAGGUUGGUUGGAGAUACACACUCCAGGAUAAUGUGUUAAAUCUCAUGUUAAGUCCUAUUUCCUAUCUCAACAUUUUAUAUAUCUGUAUAUAUGCAUGUAUGUGAACAUGUACAUUGAGUAUGGACUUGAUUUUUAAAUAACAUUACUUUAUUCCUAUCUCGAGUUACAUGCUAGCGAUCUCCUUGCUAACCAUCCUAGGACGCUACAUUGUUUUAUAAUGUAGGGUCCGAGGAUACCUCUUUUGCCCAUGUGUAGCUUUUGGUGACCGGGUUCGUCAGUUGGUUCGCGGUGAAGUGGUAAACUUCCAUCCUCCAAAAAACUUAGCCAUUCCAUCGAUUUAUUUCCAUAUUAUAGAAUUAAAGAGUUCACAUUAGCAUUAUCAUUAUAAUUGUCACCAUCAUGGUUGGGGGCAUGUCCCGAUCUAGUUUUAUAUUCAGAUUGUUUUAGAGGCUUUUGUGAAAACCUAUGGAUUGGGAUAUUUGUUUGGAAUCGUAGAAUCUUCGUCUUGGUGUAUUUAUCUUUUAUAUGUUCGUUUGGAUUGCUUUCACUAUUAUACUAUAUUGUGUUCUGAUUGGCUAGGCUUAGUGGGUGGCUUUCUGUCCUCGAUGGACUUGAGAUACCCGUCACAACUAGGCCCUGAUUCAGGUCGUGAUAGUAAGGGUUGUUAAAAUUCAAUUGAUUUUUCAUAGAGUUCAAAUGCUUUACAGACAUCACAAAUUCUUUUUAAUUGCCUUGAUAGAACCUUUCUAAGACAUAAGGAAAUUCAAAGAUACAAAAGAAGGUUGGGGAUGCAGUAUGUGAAUUAUAAUCAAAAUGGUCAGAUAUAGUUUUUUGUGCAAGAGCAUAUUCAAGUGGGAGUGAUUGUCAAUUUUGAGCAACAACUUUCAUUACACCUCACAGUGGAAUAUGAUAAGUAGACGAUGACUACAGUGGUAUAUGCCAAAUAUUAUACUUUAGAGAGUCUAGUCUAUGCGAUGAUUUGUAUGCCAUUGGGUACAAUCUUUCCUUUCCUUGGUUAUAGGGGCAGAGUUGAAUGUCAUUUUAUAUGAUGAAGAAAAAUUGGUGGGCUACCCGUAUAUCCUUAUGCAUUUGAGGACUUUAGCUUAUGUAUAAAUUGUGAGUUUUUUGAGAUUAGUGUCACCGGGAACCCUUUCACCUGGAUGAAUGGUAGAGCUGAUGAAGAAUAUAUUUUCAAAACGCUCGACAGAAUCAUGAAUUAGGCUGUAUAGGACAUAUUUGGGAAUAUAAAAUGUAAUAUUUGACUAUAACUGAGUCUGAUCAUGCCCCUUUAAUGCUCAAGGAGAAAUUCAGUAAUUCUCAAAACCUCUUAGGUUUUUAAAGUUCUGAAUAGAAAAAGAUGAUUUUAAAAAGUGGUUAGGCAUAUUCGGAGGGCAGAUGAAUAUGGGGAUUGCUUCAAAAGAUUGAAAUACAAGCAGAAGAGAGCUAAAUAUGCACUGUCUAAGUGGAGUAGAGACAUCUUUGGGGAUCUAUUUAAACAACUAAGCAUCAGGGAAGAGAUUGUGAAGUUAAAGGAGGGCCUAUUUGAUGACAACCAAGUGCAACGAAUAUGGCUAUUUUAUAGCAUAUACAAGUUGAACAAAAGUAAUAUCUCCACUGUAAGGAGGAAUUUUUCAUACAAAAGGCUAGUAUCCAGUGGUUCACUAAAAGGGGAUAAAAAUAUAAAUUUUUUCCAUUGUCUGGUGAAAGAAGAAGAAAGAAAUUACAAUUGAAGAGAAGUUUAAAGCAUGAUGGUACUUGGGUUGAAGGAGAUGAGCAGAUUGCUAAUGAAGCAAUGAACUUUUUCCAAAACCGAUUCUCAGGAGAGCUCUUUACUGACGAACAUUGUUAUAACAUAUCCCAUCAUUAAUUAUUAAAAAAGAUAACAUUAUGCUCAUGUAACGCCCUAAAAAUGAGUCCCGAGACAUCACACGGUGCUCAAGACUAUGAGUAGCCUUAAACUAACCUUGUCUACCUUCUAUUAAGUUUGAAUCUCAUAAUAAGUAAUAUAGAUAUCAAAAUCAUACUGAAAGCAGAAACUAUCUGAAUGUAAUAUCCGAAAAUAAUGUCUGGAACCUUAAUACUGAAUAAUCUGAAUUAAAACUAUCAAGACUACGAGUAGCCUUAAGCUAACCUUGUCUGCCUUCUACUAAGUUUGAAUCUCAUAAUAAGGUAAUAUAGAUAUCAAAAUCAUACUGAAAACAGAAACUAUUUGAAUGUAAUAUCCGAAAAUAAUGUCUGAAACCUUAAUACUGAAUAAUCUGAAUUAAAACUAGUAGUCUGAUAAUCCUCUACUACUAAUAAUAAAUCGAGGGGCAGAGUAGAAUAACUUUAACAUACAAAUUUGAUGCCUCAAGUUACACAGUUAGAUUCGCUGAACAGAUUCGUAAUUUCUCCUCCAAAGGCUAGAUAGACGGAAAGAAUGAUCCUCAUUUAGAUGACUAUUAGAGAUAUUGUCUUGUUGCUGGAAAAAAGGCCCUCAAUGAUGGAAAACAAAAUUUGGGUCAGGUUAUGGGUUGGUCCAAAUUGGUGGGUCGGGUUAUGGGUUGGUCCAAAUUGGUGGGUCGGGUUAUGGGUUGUAACGGAGGGUAUAUUUGGACCUUUUUGCAAGGUUAAGGGGUAUAUUUGCUCUUAAACUUUAAGAGCGAGAGCAUAUUUGGGCCAAACUUGUAACAGAGGGUAUAUUUGGACCUUUUCGCAAAGUUUAGGAGUAUAUUUGCUCCUAAACUUUAACAGCAAGGGCAUAUUUAGACCAAACUUGUAACGGAGGGUAUAUUUGGACCUUUUUGCAAAGUUAAGAGGUAUAUUUGACCCUUUACCCUUUGUAAAAUAAUGCAUGCCAAAUGUAAAUGACUCACAUAAGCUGGAAUAUCUGAAAUACUGAAAUCUAUAAUCAUGAAUAACAAAUAAUUAGUGAGUCAUAACAUUUAGUUCUAAAAGUCGUACUAGUAUUAUGUCUGUAAAUCAUGCUGCCUAAGUGUAGAAAGGACUCACUUCUGUAUCUGAAAUCUGAAAGCUGAAAUCUAUAGCUAAUAUCUUUUGGUAAAGCAUAAUCUGAAUAAAGUUGUGAGCCUUUACACGUAGUUUUCUAAAAGUUUUUUUAUUACUAGUAGGAAGAAUACUUUAUCUAAAGGGAGGUUCUUCUAACCGACAUAAACCAUGUGAGCUAACAUGGAGUCCAACGUCUUGCUCCCCUAUGGGGAAAACCUCACGAUAGGGAGAGGUGUCAACUCUUGCCAAGGAGUAUAACCUAAUCUAAGUGAUCAUAUAUGUGUCUGUCAUCCAUAUAGAAAUGGGAAUAAUCUGAAUCUGUACCUACGUUGGCUACGUAGUUCUGUGGAAAAUAGGGCACGCUAAUCCCACACUUCUAGCUCAGUGCUAAAUACUACUCCCUUUUAAUCUGUAUGCACAUUCUGUUGGAAAUCCACUUUAAAAGCUAGCAUAAGGGUUAUUACAGAACCAAUUAUGCAUUUAUCUGAUUCAACCUGUGAGUAAAACUAUUCUGAUUUUUGAAAUUUGUAAUAAAUCUGUAAAGUGGAUUCCAAAUCUUAUCUGAGGAUCAAAAGAUCAAGGCUUUUUGAAAAUCUGAAAAUAAACUGAUCAUCUAAUGCUUAAAGCGUGAUCUUUCUUGAAAUAAUAAUAUUCAAUCUAGGGAUGAUAACCUAUGCAUCAAUCUCAUGUCAAAACAUCAUAAUAAUCAUGCUUGGUAAUGAAAACAAUGAUAGUUCAUCUCAAAAUCUGGAAAUUACUGCAAUAGGCAUGAAAAUAUGAAAAUAGUCAUGCAAUUCAACUUCUAAAAAACUUGAAAUCUCUUAAUCUUGCAAUUAGCAAUCCUAAUUCAAAAAACUCAUGUAUAAUCAUUCAAAAUCAUAUAAAUUUAAAAUAAAAGCUUGGUUUUGGGAACAAGGAUAAAAGAGGAUCCUUGUUUAUAAACCCUACAUACCUUAAUUGAUGAAAUUUCUAAGAAAGCUUGAACUUGAAUCUCUAUUUGAGCCUUUGAAGAUGAACUCUUGGUUCUCUUGAUUUGAGAAUCCUCAAUUUUGAGUUUUCUUGGAGAAACAAUGGAGGAAAUUGAUUUCUUGGAGAGUAAGGUUUUGAACUUUAGGGUUUUCCUUUGAGAGAGAAUGGAUGAAAAUAAACAUAAAGUGCUUAGAAUAGACUUAAUUCCUUGUUUUGGACGAAUUGGGGCUUGGGAUUUGACCAAAGUACCCCUCUUAAAAUUUAAUCGGAACUGGAAAAAAGAUAAAUUUUCCGAAUUUGCAUGCCACUGCAACGCUCCACUAUCGCGGUGGAUCAUUGGAAUUUGACAACUGAAAACUGGACAUUCUACGCGACGCGGAGCUAUCGCGGUGCACUACUGAAAUGCCAUUUUGGCCAUCACCGUGACGUGCCACUAUCGCAGUGAGCCACUGGAAAUUGACAAUUGGGAAAUAAGGCUUCACCACGACACGGGCUUAUCGCAGAGGUCCACUUAAACCAAACAAUUGCCAUUUUGCAAGUAACCGCGGCGUGAUGCUUCUCCAGUUGGGAUACUACUUUACUAAAAAUGCCAUAACUUCUCAACCGAGUAUCGGAUUUGGGAGAAAUUGGUAUUGAUGGAAAGCUUAUUCAAUUAUAUACACAAUGGUUUCACAUGUAACAAAAAUUAUUCAUUUUUAAAGCUAGCCUUUGACAUUCUAGGUGUUAAAUUGAGAUGGAAAAGUACGGGGUAUUACAGCCCAACGGAUUACCUACAAAUGUAAAGAUCAGAAGGACAAUAUUUGAGUUAAAUGGUGAUAGUGCAUGUGGUCUUGAUGGUUUCAUUGGUUGAUUCUAUCAGAAUUGUUGGGAUAUUGGUGGGGGAGAUAUUAGUGACAUUGUUCAUGCUUUCAUAAAAGGCUCCACUUUACCUAAAUCAAUUUCUCACACUAAUUUGGCGUUACUGCCUUAGAAAGAUGUCAUUCAUAUAUUUUCAAACCUAAGACCAAUUAGCUUUAAGUAAAUUUUGGAAUAAAGUAAUCUCCAGUCUUUCGUAUGAUAGGAUGGACCUUUUCUUCUAGGCUGAUUUCACAUUUCGCAGAACCAAUCAAACUUUGUGAAUGGAAGGAGCAUCACUAAAAAUAUUUUAUUAGCUCAAGAGAUUAUUUCUAAUAUUAGAAAAAAAGGAAACCAACAAAUAUAGUCAUUAGGCUUGACAUGGUAAAGACUUAUGACAAAGUUGAAUGGAAAUUUUUGAUUAAAGUCUUGGAAAAAAUAGGUUUAAUAAAAUAAUUAUGGAUAAGAUUUGGAGAAUUGUGGCUGAUAAUUGGUAUUCUAUUCUAAUUGUUGGACAAGCUCGUAAUUUUUUCCAUUCCACCGAAGGUGUCAAAUAAGGGGAUCCUUUAUCCCCUUUAUUAUUUAUUUUGUCUGUUGACGUGUUAUCUAAAACCACGAAUCAACUAUUUUAUAGUAGAGAAUUCAAGGGUAUUGGAAUACAUAAAUGGAGUGAAAGUUUAAAUCACAUGACCUAUGUUGAUGACAUGAGAAAGUCAUUACAAUUAAAUUUGAAGGUUUUGGAUCAAUAUUAAAUGUAGUCAAGUCAGAAAAUCAACUAAGAAAAACAUUUUUUCUUUAUGUAUAGGUAGGCUGCAACUAAUGUUGUCCAAGAAGUGGAGGUUGUAACUAGUUUUAUAGGGGUAAAUUCCCAAUGAUGUAUUUGGGGUUUCCUAUUGGUCAUGCAAGAAGCAAGACUUUGUUGAACUUAUCAAGAAGAUGCAGAAUAACUGAAUGUAUGGAAAGGUAAGUUACUAUCAUUUGGUGGAAAAUCUGUCCUAAUAAACCAUGUUUCUUCGAGAGUAUCCCUAUCGAGUUAUUGUCUGCUAUCAUUUAUCCUAAAUGUGUAUUGAAGAUUCCAUAGAAUCUUUUCUAAGUUUUUAUGGAAUUUUAUGAAAGAAGAAAAGGCAAAGAACCGAGUGUCAUAGCAGAAUAUCUAUCUUCCCUAAAUUAAAGGUGGUUUAGGUUUUAGAUAUCUUUAUGAUGUGUCAGAGGCUUUAUUUGCUAAAUUGUGGAGGAUUUUUAGGACUAAGUCCUUAUGGGCCAAUUUUAUAAGGAACAAAUAUUGGAAAAGGCUUCUCAAAUAUGGAAACAUAUGCUAUAUAAUGACCCUUAGGUUAUUUUCUGUAUUUCCAUACUAUUGCAAUGUCUAGAGGUUUUCCAUAGUUUCCUCAAGUUAUUUAUGACUUGCUGGAGAUGACAAUUUAGUUACUGGAGAGUUCGUUAAGUUUUUAGAGUCAAUUCCCUAUUUUGAAGUUCUCACUGUUGAGAAUUGGUUAUCGGGCUUAAACUUUAGGUUAACAUCGUCAUAUACCAAUUCUAAUAGUUUUGCUAGAUCUAAAAUGUUGAUUUUAGGCUUGGGGGACCUUUGGUUUGGGUCCUAAGGAUUUCAAACUCGUGUUAGGCUAUUGGGUGGAUUUUGGUUAAAAUAGUCAUUGAGUGUGCGAUCCACAUUUUAUUGAAAUGAACUCAGCUGGAAAUUUUGAUGGCACAGUUGAGAGAAUAUUGAUUUUGGUAGGGUAGCAUAGCUCAUUUGCAUUCACAUAAUUCUGAAUGAAUCCUGAAGGUCCACUCAGAAACUUGACAAAUACCAAGUGUAGUUGGUGCAGCAUCAGCUGGUGCAGCGCAAAAAUAGCCUUCACAUUCAUGAUGGCCAUGGAAAAUUGGCUACCACAAUCAUGAUGACCUUGGCCGCAUCUGCGAAGGCCAAGUUUACUAGCCAUCGCAUUUGCGAGCUUGCCUUCGCAUUCACAAAGAGUAUUCUCUGGGUCGAACUAGGCAUUCUUUCUUGAGAUCGAGGUGGACCGGCCGUGUUCGUGAAGGGUAAGUUGGAUUGAGCCCUGCAUUUGCAGAGGGGUCCUCACCUUCACGAUGAAGGGACCCCAAGCAGUAUAUAUGCUGCCAAACCCAAUUUUUCUCCCAUUUUCAAGUCUCAACUUCCAUUAAUAUCCCUAGAGAGCUAAGAGAGUGAGAGGAUCGAUACAUGGGUGUUUAGGGUGAGUUAGAGAGUUUGGGGGAUGUUUUUCCAUCAAGAAUUAUUGUAAAUUUUCUUAUAUUUCUUAUUUAAGUCUCUACUUUAAUCUCGAAAUCCCUAACACUUUGUGGGCUGAUUUGAGGGAGCAAUUUUGCUCGUAUUCAUCAUUUUUUUAGGAUAAAUGAUCCUUGAGCCUAGAAGAGCGUUUUGGCGGUUUCAAAGUUGUGAUCUUGCAACUAGCCCCACAUGGGAUUUUUAGCUCAAUUUCGGAACCAAAGAAUUUAUAUGCAAUAUGGGUAUUUUUAUUCUUGUAUUAAUGUGUAUAUCAUUAUUUUGAUAGUGUAGCAUCGUACAAAGGCUUCCUGGAAGGUAAAAUCUCUAAUUUAGUGGAUUUUCUUGGGCAUUCUUCGAUGUACAGGUAGGUUAGGCUUACUUUUCUCAUAUAUUGAGCUAUAUUAUUGUACUGGUGUGGUCUUAUGCUAGAUUUGGGUUGGAAAUUAUGACUUGAUUGUAUGUUUAGCGAAAUUUGGAAUAUUUAGCCGAUUAGUGAAUCGUGUUUAGGUAGAAUUGACCUGUUCAUCCUUUCCUUGGAUUAAACUAAGACAUUAGGACAUAUUGGACUUAUUUUACUCCUUGUAGUAGGUCUUGGAAGCCUUAGUCUAGUUUUUGGUAGAAAUUGUCUUAGUAUGAAUUUUUGGGUUUUAGUAGCGGGCUCCGUCGACCCUCUUUAAGGUCAAACAUCUGAAGUAGCUCCCGAUAGAUCUAGGAGGCCUUCUCUCAUUAUUAUAUAAAUAUUCUUGGACCCUAAGAUGAUUUAGUCAAUUUUCAAUUAUCGACUAGAUUUAGUAACCUGUAUUUACUUUAAAGACUGGUUCGAGCCCAACACUUACUAUUCAUUUAUGAUGCUUAAAGACCAAUUUGAGUUUGACAUAUAUUAAUCACUUAUUAUAUAAAAGUUUGGUUUGAGUUUGACAAUUAUGGUUCACUUAUGAUGACUAGGGAUCCGGUUCGAGUCCAAUGUUUGUUGUAUGAAAGGAUUAACAGAUAUGGUUUUGGUGGCCAAUUACUUUAUAAUUACUAUUGUUUUUAUUUUUCCCUUAAUUACGUCCAUUGAGCUUAUGGAGACUCGUUUGGAUUAUCCUUCUCUUGUUUGCGCCUUCUAGGCUUAUGGGGGUCAAGUUAGGCUAUAGUUGACUUGUAUUCUUUUGAUAUUAUCUAUUGUAUUAUUUAUUAUCUAUCAGCUGGAGUGUUGUUUCAGGUUUUCCCUUUUUAUCCCUGACUUUAUUUUACAUUCACGCAUUUUAUUAUGCUUUUAUUAUGAUUUAGCUUAGUUGACUGAUAUGCCUACUGGGUACCCAUUGGUUUUGUACUCCUACUAUGCUUCUGCAUCUUUUUCUAAUACAGAUCCAAGUACUAGCUAUCACCACUGACAUUCUAUCCAGCACAAUCUAGAGUUCGAUGAUAGGGUGAGCUUUUGGAGUCGGAGUUGAUUCUCUCUCCUUAUGUUAGUUUUGGAAAAUCUUUUUGACACUAUUUGUAUAUUGACAUUAUUCAUUCUCUUAUUCUUUUGAUUAGUGACUCUUACCGACCUUACUAGGUCGUGAGAUACUUUUUUGCUCUUUCUCUCUCUUAUUUAUAUAUAUGCCAUCCUUUUAAUAUUAUAUCGCCUACAAUCUAUUUGUAUGCUUAAUUCUCAAUAGUCAUCAUACCUUCCACCAAAUAGCCUAUUAUUUGUCAUUCUGAGUUGUGAUUUGGCUUACCUACUGGUUGGUUAAUGUAAUACCCCAAACUUUUUCAAGCUUAAAUUCAUUCAUAGAAUGUUAUGGGAUAUCUUCCAAAAUGAUUAAUAUUUGUUUCGCAUAGAAUUUUCUAGAUUUCAACUUUUCAUCAUGUGGGAAAUUAAAUAAGCUUUCCAUCGAUAUCAAAUUUGCCCAAAUCCGACACUCGGUGAAGAAGUUAGAGCACUUUUAAGUUGACAGCGUGCCAACUAGGCAGUCACCGCGUCGCGGUGAAGGACAAUUUCAUAAUCUUCACUUACCAGUGGACCACCGCGAUGUUGGCACGUCGCGGCGAGGUCCAAAUUCCCAUUUGUUAAUUUCCAGUGGACCUCUGUGAUAUUGGUGCGUCGCGGAGAGGUCCAUUUUUCCAAUUGUAGAAUUCCGUAGCCUAACGCGAUAGGGGCGUAUCGCACCGAAGGCCAAAAUGGCAUUUCUAUAGGGCACCGCAAUGGUGGCGCAUCGCGUUGAAGUUUCAGGUCCCAAUUGUCAAAACCUAGUGGGACAGCGCAAUAGCUCCGCAUCGCGGUGGACCCCAAUUUCCCAUUCGUCAGUUUUCAGUGAGCCAGCGCGAUAGUGGCACAUCGCGGUGGCCUAUUAAAUCGGGACCCAGUUACGUUUUUUUUUUCAGUUUCGUUUAGAAGUGAAAAAGGGCAUUUUGGACUUUUUCCCAGCACCCAAUUCCAUCUAAACACAAGAUUUAGGGCUAUUACAAACAUCUUAUGGUAUAUUUCUCAAGAUUUCUCUCAACUAAAAACCCUAAGCUUCAACAAUCAACCUCAAGAAUCUCAAGAUUCCACCAUCCUUUUUCCAAAUUAAUUCAAGAUUCCCAACACAAGAAUUCCAAGAACCAUAAUUCAAGAGUACAAAUAGAGUCUCAAAAGCAAGGUUGUUCAUCUAGUUCAACAUCCAAGGUAUGUGGGGUUUGAACAAGGACAAGUCUUUCGUUCUUGUGCCCAAAAAACUUGAAUUUUAUUAAAGAUUACAUGAUUUACAAGUUGGGGUUUAUACCCAAAGCAUCUUGUUUUAAGUUUAUGAAGAUAUAAGUGAUUUAAGCCUUGAAUUGCAUAUUUAUCCCACCUAUUUAUGCUUUGAAUUGAGGAUUUAUAUCAUGAAUUGCACAUUCCCAUUGUGAAUUGAUAUUUUCAAGUGUUUCCAAGAUAAUUGUUGAGAAUUAAGCUUCAUUAUGAAAUUGUGAUCAUUUAAGUACAUAUGCUUUAAACCCAAGUAAGAAUUUUGAUAUUUCAUGAAGAGUAUAUUGUUAGCAUGCUUUAACAAGCAAGCAUUCAGAUUUUAAAGAAAGAUUGAUCUUCCGAACCUAAGCUAAGAUAGGAAUCCACAUUAUUUAUGAUUUAAAGCAAAGAGAACUAUAAUUGGUUUUCAUUAUAAACCCUUGUGCUGUUUUAAGGUGAAUUUCCUAAAAGUUCUGAGCAAUAAGUAUGGGAGUAGUAUUUAGCACUGAGUUGGGUAUGAUUCCAAGGUCUCAUUCCCCAAAACUACGAGCCACGUUGGUUCUAAACGCCCAUAGUAGGCUAAGAUAGUGAUCACUAAAGUUAAGGUUCUAUUCCGAUGGCAAGGGUAGAACAGCUCUCUCCAAUGUGGGCAAGACGUUAGACUCCAUGUCAGCUCACAUGGUUUAUGUCGGUUAGAAGAAACUCCCUGAGUCCCAAAGUCCCUAAGUCCCAAAGUUCCAAGAUUUCCAAAGCUCCCAAAGCUUAUGAGUUUCAAAAGAAAAGAAUGAUAGAAAAACUUUUAUAAGACUAAGUGUUAUGACUCACUAGAUUCACAAGUAUGAUUUGUUAUACAUGAUUUUAUAUUUUGAUAUUUUAGAUAAUCAAGCUUAUGUGAGUCAUAUACAUCCACAUGCAUUUACUUUCUAAUUAUGAUGAUGUUUACUUAUGCAUUACACCCUAUAUACUCAGUACAUCCUUAAAGUGCUGAUCCACAUAUAUGUCUAUGAGCUACAUUGUCUUAUAAUGUAGGUUCAGGUGCUCAGUAUCAUCAACGUGAGUAGUUCAAGCAUCUCUAUCUACGCUCCCACAGUUGGUGAGUCCUCAUGAUUUGAGGGCCUACUUUUUCAGAUUUCCAGCUUUCAUAGUAAUUGAGUUAUCAUUUUAAGUUUAGACCGACUCAGUUGGGGGUCUGUCCCAAUGGCUCUCUAGUUCUUUAGUAGUAAAGGCUCGUCGGACUACGAGUUUAAUUACAGACUUUUAGUAUUUGUUAUUCAGACAGUACGUACGUUUAUUCAGUUCAGUUUUUGGUAUAAUAUAAUAUUAUUUCUUGAUUAGAUUAUCUUAAAGUAAGGUUCAGAUCUAGUAGCAGGCUCAAAGGGUUAGCUUGGGACUAUUCAUAGCCUUGAGCACCGUGGGACGUCUUGGGAUUAGAUUUUGGGGCGUUACAGUUAAAGAGGUGCCAUUAUGACCUGACAAACUAGGUCCUGACAUGCUAUCAGCUAGAGACAGUGUUGAUCAGGAGAUUUAGUGAAAACCUAGAUGUGGUCAUUCUAGCAUUUGGUUUGACAAUUGGACGCAAUUAGGAGAUCUUCCGUAUUACUUCCCUAUUAAUCACAACAUUGAUGAGAACUUUGAUGAUAUGAGUUAACUACUAAAUCAAGAAAGUUGGAAUGAAGAAUUAAUGAUGGAUAUUCUUAAUGAAGAUGUUUGUAAUCAGGCGAGACAAGUGAUUAGGGUAAUUCAUAAUAGGGAUGACUGGGAUAAGGCAUGGUGGAUGCUAAGCAGUAUAGGAAAGUUUUCUGUUAAAUAUACGUGGGAGUUACUUAGACAGAGAAGACCACCUCUAGAUUUGAUCACCUCUAGAGUUGACCAUGAUUUUUUGGGAAUCAGGAAUCCCUUUCAUAGUCUCUUUCCUUACUUGAAGUCUUUGGAAGAAAAGGAUUCCUAUUGGAGAGGUUUUAGUGAAAAUAAAAGUGGUUAAAGAUAUGGUUUGUUGUUAAUACAACAAUAGUGAGCAUGAAACUUUUGACCACUUGUUCAUGAAGUGUCUAGAUUCAAACUACUCAUGGAGUAUAUUUGCAGGACCUGUAGGAGUACCUAGUCCUUUUGUGAUGUGGUGGAGUGCAGACACUAGUGCAAAACUGAAGCCUUUGUACUAGGUUGUUCCCAUUUUUAUUGUCUGACAGGUAUGAAAAAGAAGGAAUAGGAUUAGAAAUGGAGGAAGAAUGUAAACGACUAGCUUUUUGAUGAAAUAUGUGAAUUGUGUGUUUUUGUGUAAUUUGAUUGUUUCACCCCUCCCCAUAACUGUAUUAUGGUAUUUUUGGGAUGUAGGGGGUGAUUGGCAUGGUUCUCGAUGCAUUUUGGUACCAUUUAUGUAUAUUGUGGUUUUUGAUGACUUCCAAAGCUUUAUUUUAAACUUAUGUGGAUAUCUUUUGAUCUGUACGAUGGAUGGCUGAACGAACUACGCCAACAACUCCAGAAUAUUAAUUUUAGGCUAGGUAGACCUUUGGUUUGGGUCCUAGUGCAUUCAAGUUCAUUUCGACCUAUUGGUCAGAAAGUUGAAAAAUUGAAAAUAUGGGUGUGGGACCCACGUUUGGUCAAAACAACCUCAGAUAAAAAAUCUAACUUUUCCAGUAGAUUCAAAACGUCGAUUAUAGGGUGAUAACAUAUUUGAUGUGAUUUUACGGCUUUUCAAUCUCAUUUUGACCCUCGAUUUGGAAAAUUAUAAUUUCGGAUUUCGGUUGUCAACUAUGUGAAAAUGAUAUUUUUUUGAAAAUCUGAAAUCACCAUUGAAUUUGGAGAGUCAAAUUUAGUGUGGUUACAUAGUUUGUUUAUUUAUAUUAGACUCCGAACGAAUUCUGAGCACCCCAUCGAAGUUUGUCCGGACUUAUAAAAAAAUUGGUGUAGAUUUUUCUGCAUUAUUAAUAGCAGUUUUCAAGCCCAUUUUGUUCAUUUUUCAUCUGGCCUCUUGAGAGUUAAACCCUAAAAAUAGUGUGGGAGCUUAAAAGUGAAGCUUGUGGAAGCUUGGGAAGCAAGAUUAACAUCUAUUUCUUGAUUCUAUUACGGAUUUAAGGUAAGAAUUCAACAUAUUCUUAGUCAUUUCUUGAUUAAUUUCUCAACACCUCAAAAAUCUUAGGGCUUGAUUUUAAACCUCAAUUUCACUCCUUUUUCACUUGAAUAAUAUUUUAAUCUUAUAAUUAUGAGUGUUUCAUCAAUUUAACAUUCAAAACAAUUCCAAUUCUUAGUUUUCACCCGAAUUUCAAAGAUUUUAUCUAGUACAACUUAAAAAUAGUUUUUCUUUGAUUUUAACCUUAUUUUUGACUCGAUUUGACUUGAAUUUUCAUAUGUAGGAUCCUACAAAUAUGGGAAACACGUUUUUGAAGUAAAGUUAUGAUUUUGCUCUUCUUUUUCAAAAAUCCAUUUCGGGGAGUUUGUUUUGACCCCGAACCAAAAAAAUUACUCAAUAUGGGUGUCGUUGAUUUUGUUUUGAUGCGUAGAUUCCAUAUUUGAUGUUUUUAGUGAAGCUCGGUACCAUUUGUGAGGAGUAAAACUUUGGGAGCAAAGUCUUGAUUCCGAUAUUUUAGUUUUUGAGGUAGGUUAUGACUUAACUCUUUCAGACUGGGCUAGUAGUAAAUGAUGGUAGAAAAUACAUGUUGAGGCUGAGAACUAAUCAUGAAAAAUGGGUAUCUAUGUGUGUUUCCAUGUGGGGGCCUAUAUGUAAUGUAAUUGUUGAAAUUAAGAUAUUAUGUGAUAGUGUGAUCGUGUGCGAUCCUAUGUGAUGUAGAUAGCCUUAAAUAUAUAUGAAUAAUUGUAUUGUGUUGUUGAAAUGUCUAAUGUGAUGUCAUUGGUGUAUUGAGAUAUAUUCAUACUUGUUAUAUGAGACGUGUAAAUUCAUGGAUGAAACAAAAAUAAUAAGUGAAUUAUUGGCUCAUGUGGUUGUGGAAAUGUAUAAUUAUGGUUGGUUGUGGAAAUAUAUUAUUGUGGCUGGUUAUGAAAAUACUCAUUGUGAUUGGUUGUGGUCAUUACAUCUUCAUAUCAUACUCAUUCAUGAAACAUUGGUACCACCAUGGCAACAUCUGAAAAACACUGACAAUACCUUUAAUAAAACCCUCCCCAAGGGAAGUGCUGGGAGGAGAUAUUGCAACACCUUAUAAAACUCUUUCCGAGAGACAUGUCAAAAAGUUCAUAUGAGAUAUGUGGAUUGUAUACGGAUUGACGAACUCCCCAUGGGUCCUAUCCUACAUCGAGAAGCUUUAGUUCCGUAGGUGUAUACAGGGAUUGUGCGACGAUCCCGGAGGUUGUGCAACGACCUCGUGCAUCAUCAUCAUUAUCAUAUACAUUGUACUUACUUUAUUAUGUUUAUGUUGUUUUGUAUUGCCAUAUUGACUUGUCAUCUAUGUAUUUCUCUUACCUUCCUUUACUUAUAUUUGAUGAUCUUGUAUCCACAUGUUCUCCUUUGUUCUACUUAUAUGUGGCAUAAUGCAUUCUUGUGUUCUAUCUUGGUGUGUUAUUGUAAUAUAGGUGAUAUAUUAGAACUGUUAGUGUAACCGGUGUAAGCUAUCGUUGUGAGAUAUUUUCUGAUUACAGAUGACAUACCCUUAGUGUGUAUUUUGUAUGCUUCAUUUUUUCUACUUUGCUUGGUUGGUCUAUGAUACCUACUUAGUAUAAGUGGACCGUACUCACUCCUACUUCAUCCUUUUGGUGCACCUUUAGGUUCGAGUGCGCCUUAGACUAGUUAAUUUUUGGGCACCUUCAGAUUACUCAAGGUAGCGGUUGGACAUUCAUACGUCCGUAGUUCACCUCUAUCUUUCUAUAUUAGUUAUGUCUUUAUUAGUAUUUGGAGACAGAUAUUAUUCCUUUGUGGUUAUUUUUCUGAUGUAUUUGACUCCUGGAUAGUAUUAGUAGUUCUUACACCAUUGACAACAGGUUUUGGGAGUUAUGGCUGCAUGUGUUGAUUUUAUUUUUUCCACUUGUAUUAUAUCUAUAUGGUUCAGCUUUAUUCUAGAAGCCUUAUCUUGGGGGGCAUUUCUAUUUUUUUUUGUGUGUAUCAGUUUGGGUGAGACUUACUUGUCAAGGUUCGCCGCGACAAGUGCCAUCAUGACCCUUAUUUUUGGGUCGUGACAAGGAAUGUUAAAACAUGACAUGGUUAUGGAGAUUAACAGGAAUCUGUAUAUGUUUCCAAAAUUAGAUUCCCUUGGCUUAAGGAAAUCCCUGAUUCAUGGCCAAUGAUAGUUAAAAUGUUUGAAGAGUACACCCUCAUUGUUUCUUGCAAAAUUGUCUGACGGAAACAUCCGUAAAGGGAUUACAAAUGUAAUUUAGAUGGGGCAUAAAUAGAAUUCUGGGCCUUAUGCUAGUGGCUUUUGCAUAAAAAAUAAAGAUGAAGACUUUAUUUAUGCUGCAUCAAACACAGUUAAAGAGGGGUCUGGACUAGAAGCUGAGGUGAAAGCUAUGAGAUUAGCCCGGGAGUUUUGUAUAGGCAAAAAUCUGUUACCUCUGACCAUGGAAAUAUAUUCCCUCAUAAUCAAUAAGAUUCUUGAUGGUAUAUGAGAGAUGCCCUGGACAAUUACCAUAGAGAUAAUAAGGAUAAAACAAUUGAUGGAGAAUAAUUUGGAGGAUGUGGAGCAUACAUUUCGAGAAGGCAAUAAAUUGACCGAUUUUUUCACUAACAUUAUUUUUAGUUUUGCAGGUACAAAUAACAUACAAUUUAGCUCAAUACAGGAGGUUCUGGAAUAAGAAAGGAAAAUCAUAAAUUUAGAGAAAAACAAAACUACAUAUUUAAGGAUAAGGAAACGUCACAACAGGUGUUUCAAUCAACCACAGGGACAAACACAAUCACACAAGCAGAUUGAUUUAAACAUACAAAUAACCAGCUGAAGUGGGCUAUAAUAAAAAUGAACUGAGAAAGUAGGAAGAAAGGACUUGCCCUUUAGCUCUGAGCCUUUUGCAGAGGUAUUAGCUUCAAGGAGAUCAUUUUGCAAAGGGUAAGGAAAUGAAAAAAAAAUCAAUCAAAAAAGCAUUUCAUACCAAAUUAUGGGAAUUGGAAUUUGACUUUACCUCAUCGUGAAGAGCUGGAAUACUGGUAAUGAGCUGAAGAAGUCUUCAACGAGUUGAAUUCAUGGCGCCUGUGAGAAUUUGUUGGGUGUUUAAGUUAACAUCAGUCAAUCACACUGAUGAUAUAAACCGUCUUCUACGAGAUGAUAAGAUCAAUGAGAUCUAUGGGUGCAGCAGUUCGCAAGUCACCGACAAUGGUUGGCCGAUCAACCAGGGAUUUAGUACUUUGGAGCUUUUACAGAUUUCCUAAUUUGGUUGUAAAUAUUAGCUUAGACUUGUUUUGUCUGUUUUUUGUUAUUUCGGGUAUGGGCUUUGGUCUCUUUUGGGACAUUGCCCAUUACCAUUUGAACCUUUGUUUUCUGAUUUUCUAAUAAAUGGCAUGGCCCGUAUUUACUUUAAACUACCCUCCUUCAUCAUAAAAAAUAUUUCACUUUAUUCAAGAAUUGUGGUUUGGUUAUAAAAU
rnacentral:lncRNA from 1 species